CGUUAACCAAGUUUGCAUAUAACACCGGUUCGUCUGAGCGAAAACACACUCGAAAGCUUGCCCGGAAAACGGUUAUUUUGAUGAAAAAUAUUUUGGACUUCAGGCUCGGAGUUGAACUCAUACUUUUGGCAUUCGCAGCUCAGGCUGAAAUUCCCAAAAGGAGGAACCAGUGCAGAAGGUUUUUAGUCGUACUGUGUUUAAAUGUGAUUGGUGUUCACUUCGGCCGGUGUGAAGUUGUGGGCCAAGCACAAAGCACUAGCCAUCCAAGGAAGAGGAUUCUAUUUUUUCCCCUCUCCAUUUUUGGCGGGAAAGCGAGUGAAUGACGGCAAGCAGACAGGCUGACCCAGG
ensembl:lncRNA